UACGUAGGGUGCAAGCGUUAAUCGGAAUUACUGGGCGUAAAGCGUGCGCAGGCGGUUUUGUAAGUCUGUCGUGAAAUCCCCGGGCUCAACCUGGGAAUGGCGAUGGAGACUGCAAGGCUAGAGUUUGGCAGAGGGGGGUAGAAUUCCACGUGUAGCAGUGAAAUGCGUAGAGAUGUGGAGGAACACCGAUGGCGAAGGCAGCCCCCUGGGUCAAAACUGACGCUCAUGCACGAAAGCGUGGGGAUCAAACAGG
rnacentral:rRNA from 1 species